rnacentral:misc_RNA from 1 species
GAUGAAGAACGCAGUGAAAUGCGAUAAGUAAUGUGAAUUGCAGAAUUCAGUGAAUCAUCGAAUCUUUGAACGCACCUUGCGCCCUUUGGCCAUUCCGAAGGGCAUGCCUGUUUGAGUAUCAUGAACACCUCAACUCUUCAUGGAUUUCCAUGAUGAGCUUGGACUUUGGGGGUCUUGCCGGCCUGUGGUCGGCUCCUCUCAAAUGAAUCAGCUUACUGGUUUUUGGUGGGCAUCACAGGUGUGAUAACUAUCUACGCUUGUGGUUUUCCACCAGGGUAACCUUCAGCAGUGGAGGUUCACUGGAGCUUACAAAUGUCUCUCCUCCGUGAGGACAGCCCUUUGAAUGUUUGAUCUCAAAUCAGGUAGGACUACCCGCUGAACUUAAGCAUAUCAAUAAGCGGAGGA